UGCGGAAGGAUCAUUAAAGAUUAUGAAUGAAUAGAUUACUGGGGGAAUCGUCUGAACAAGGCCUGCGCUUAAUUGCGCGGCCAGUUCUUGAUUCUCUGCUAUCAGUUUUCUAUUUCUCAUCCUAAACACAAUGGAGUUUUUUCUCUAUGAACUACUUCCCUGGAGAGCUCGUCUCUCCAGUGGACAUAAACACAAACAAUAUUUUGUAUUAUGAAAAACUAUUAUACUAUAAAAUUUAAUAUUCAAAACUUUCAACAACGGAUUCUUGGUUCUCGCAUCGAUGAAGAACGCAGCGAAUUGCGAUAUGUAUUGUGAAUUGCAGAUUUUCGUGAAUCAUCAAAUCUUUGAACGCACAUUGCGCCCUCUGGUAUUCCAGGGGGCAUGCCUGUUUGAGCGUCAUUUCUCUCUCAAACCUUUGGGUUUGUAGUGAGUGAUACUCGUCUCGGGUUAACUUGAAAGUGGCUAGCCGUUGCCAUCUGCGUGAGCAGGGCUGCGUGUCAAGUCUAUGGACUCGACUCUUGCACAUCUACGUCUUAGGUUUGCGCCAAUUCGUGGUAAGCUUGGGUCAUAGAGACUCAUAGGUGUUAUAAAGACUCGCUGGUGUUUGUCUCCUUGAGGCAUACGGCUUUAACCAAAACUCUCAAAGUUUGACCUCAAAUCAGGUAGGAGUACCCGCUGAACUUAAGCAUA
rnacentral:rRNA from 1 species